AUUGAACGCUGGCGGCAGGCCUAACACAUGCAAGUCGGACGAGUGGCGGACGGGUGAGUAAUGUCUGGGACACUGCCCGAUGGAGGGGGAUAACUACUGGAAACGGUCGCUAAUAGAGCAUACCAUCGGAUGUGCCCAGAUGGGAUUAGCUAGUAGGUGGGGUAACGGCUCACCGAGGCGACGAUCCCUAGCUGGUCUGAGAGGAUGACCAGCCACACUGGAACUGAGACACGGUCCAGACUCCUACGGGAGGGAGCAGUGGGGAAUAUUGCACAAUGGGCGCAAGCCUGAUGCAGCCAUGCCGCGUGUAUGAAGAAGGCCUUCGGGUUGUAAAGUACUUUCAGCGAGGAGGCGUUACUCGCAGAAGAAGCACCGGCUAACUCCGUGCCAGCAGCCGCGGUAAUUC
rnacentral:rRNA from 1 species